GCUCUGCAAGCUCAGUUGGUAGAGCGUGAGACUCUUAAUCACAGGGUCCUGGGUUCAGGCCCCUCAUUGGGCA